AUUGAACGCUGGCGGCAGGCCUAACACAUGCAAGUCGAACGGUAACAGGAAGAAGCUUGCUUCUUUGCUGACGAGUGGCGGACGGGUGAGUAAUGUCUGGGAAACUGCCUGAUGGAGGGGGAUAACUACUGGAAACGGUAGCUAAUACCGCAUAACGUCGCAAGACCAAAGAGGGGGACCUUCGGGCCUCUUGCCAUCGGAUGUGCCCAGAUGGGAUUAGCUAGUAGGUGGGGUAACGGCUCACCUAGGCGACGAUCCCUAGCUGGUCUGAGAGGAUGACCAGCCACACUGGAACUGAGACACGGUCCAGACUCCUACGGGAGGCAGCAGUGGGGAAUAUUGCACAAUGGGCGCAUGCCUGAUGCAGCCAUGCCGCGUGUAUGAAGAAGGCCUUCGGGUUGUAAAGUACUUUCAGCGGGGAGGAAGGGAGUAAAGUUAAUACCUUUACUCAUUGACGUUACCCGCAGAAGAAGCACCGGCUAACUCCGUG
rnacentral:rRNA from 1 species